CCAAUAGCGUAUAUUAAAGUUGUUGCAGUUAAAAAGCUCGUAGUUGAAUUUCGGGAUCAGUUCGUCGGUCGUGCCUUUGGUAUGUACUGGUGUUACUGGUUCCUCCCUUCUGACGAACCGUCAUGUCAUUAAUUUGGUGUGGCGGGAAAUCAGGACUGUUACUUUGAAAAAAUUAGAGUGUUUAAAGCAGGCUCGCGCUUGAAUACAUUAGCAUGGAAUAAUGAAAUAGGACGUUCGAUCCUAUUUUGUUGGUUUCUAGGAUUGACGUAAUGAUUAAUAGGGAUAUGUGGGGGCAUUAGUAUUCAAUUGUCAGAGGUGAAAUUCUUGGAUUUAUUGAAGACUAACUACUGCGAAAGCAUUUGCCAAGGAUGUUUUCAUUAAUCAAGAACGAAAGUUAGGGGAUCGAAGACGAUCAGAUACCGUCGUAGUCUUAACCAUAAACUAUGCCGACUAGGGAUCGGAUGAUGUUAAUUUUUUAAUGACUCAUUCGGCGCCUUACG
rnacentral:rRNA from 1 species